rnacentral:tRNA from 1 species
ACCUUCGUGGUGAAAUGGUAGACACAUGUGAUUCAAAAUCAUAUAUCAAAAGAUGUACCGGUUCAAAUCCGGUCGAGGGUA